rnacentral:rRNA from 1 species
GAAAGUAAGCAAGGGCAGACGGUGGAUGCCUUGGCUCUCGGAGGCGAUGAAGGACGUGAUAAGCUGCGAUAAGCUUGGGGUAGGUGCAAAUAACCUUUGAUCCCAAGAUUUCCGAAUGGGGCAACCCGGCUGGUAGAAGGCCAGUCAUUCCGUAAGGAAGGCGAACGUGGGGAACUGAAACAUCUAAGUACCCAUAGGAGAAGAAAACAAAAGUGAUUCCGCAAGUAGUGGCGAGCGAACGCGGAACAGCCCAAACCGAUGAUGUUUAGGCAUUGUCGGGGUAGUAGGACCACGUUGUGGCAAGAGAUUAAGGAAGUAGAACGUUUUGGAACAAACGGCCGUAGACGGUGAAAGCCCGGUAUACGACUCUUUAACGAAGCCUAGUGGAAUCCUGAGUAGCGCGGAGCACGAGAAAUUCUGUGUGAAUCAGCGGGGCCCAUCCCGUAAGGCUAAAUACUCCCGAGAGACCGAUAGCGAACCAGUACUGUGAAGGAAAGGUGAAAAGCACCUCGAACAGAGGAGUGAAAUAGUCCCUGAAACCGUCUGCCUACAAGCGGUCGGAGCAACGUAAGUUGUGACGGCGUGCCUUUUGCAUAAUGAACCUACGAGUUACUUUCUCCGGCAAGGUUAAGGGCUUCAGGCCCGGAGCCGAAGCGAAAGCGAGUCUUAAUAGGGCGUGAUAGUCGGAGUGAGUAGACGCGAAACCAAGUGAUCUACCCUUGGUCAGGAUGAAGGUUGGGUAACACCAACUGGAGGUCCGAAUGGGUAUACGUUGAAAAGUGUUCCAAUGAACUGAGGGUAGGGGUGAAAGGCUAAUCAAACUUGGAGAUAGCUCGUACUCCCCGAAAUGCAUUUAGGUGCAGCCUUUAUUUAGUAUAGCAUGAGGUAGAGCGACUGAUUGGAUGCGAGGGCUUCACCGCCUAUCAAGUCCAGAUAAACUCCGAAUGCGUGCUAUAUAUUGAUAAGGAGUGAGGGCGCGGGUGCUAAGGUCCGCGUCCGAGAGGAGAAGAAUCCAGACCAUCAGCUAAGGUCCCCAAAUAACAGUUAAGUUGAACUAACGAAGUCGGACUGCAGAGACAGCUAGGAUGUUGGCUUGGAAGCAGCCAUUCAUUUAAAGAGUGCGUAACAGCUCACUAGUCGAGGAGUCCGGCGUGGAUAAUACUCGGGCAUAAACUGUUUACCGAAGCUAUGGAUGUGUAAACACAUGGUAGGGGAGCAUUCCAACGGCGUCGAAGGUGAAGGAUGACCUUUGCUGGAGCUUUUGGAAACGCAAAUGUAGGUAUAAGUAACGAUAAAGGAGGUGAGAAACCUCCUCGCCGAAAGACUAAGGUUUCCUGAUCAACGUUAAUCGGAUCAGGGUAAGUCGGGACCUAAGGUUAAGCCGAACGGCGAUACCGAUGGAAGAAUGGUUUAAUAUUCCCAUACUACUUUAUGGAGCGAUGUGGAGACGGAGAAGUGACAGUCCUGCCAUCUGACGGAAUAGGUGGUUGAAGAGUGUAGAUGUAGAUUCCUGUAGGCAAAUCCGCAGGGAGAGUCGACCUUGACAGUAUGCCGCGUGCUUGCACAAGGCAAAAUGGACGUAAUCAGGCUCCCAAGAAAAUCCGCUAAGCAUAUUCAUAAAGUACCCGUACCGUAAACGGACACACGUAGUUGGGUUGAAAAUACUGAGGCGCUCGAGUGAUUCACGGUUAAGGAACUAGGCAAAUUGACCCUGUAACUUCGGGAUAAAGGGUCCCUACUGAGAGGUAGGGCGCAGAGAAUAGGUCCAGGCAACUGUUUAACAAAAACACAUGGCUGUGCGAAAUAGAAAUAUGAAGUAUACAGCCUGACACCUGCCCGGUGCUGGAAGGUUAAGAGGAGAGCUCAUCGCAAGAGAAGGCUUGAAUUGAAGCCCCAGUAAACGGCGGCCGUAACUAUAACGGUCCUAAGGUAGCGAAAUUCCUUGUCGGGUAAGUUCCGACCUGCACGAAUGGUGUAAUGAUCUGGACACUGUCUCAACCGUGAGCU